CUUGGUCAUUUAGAGGAAGUAAAAGUCGUAACAAGGUUUCCGUAGGUGAACCUGCGGAAGGAUCAUUAUCGUGUUCCUGCCCCUCUGGGUAGAAACCUCACCCUAUGUUUAAACCUAUCUCUGUUUCCCUGGCGGGCCGCCUUAGGGCACUGGCUCCGGCCGGAUCGCGCUCGUCGGGGACAUUACAAACCCUGUUUGCAAGUCUGUCUGAGUACUAUAUCAAUAGUUAAAACUUUCAACAACGGAUCUCUUGGCUCUGGCAUCGAUGAAGAACGCAGCGAAAUGCGAUAAGUAAUGUGAAUUGCAGAAUUUAGUGAAUCAUCGAAUCUUUGAACGCACAUUGCGCCCCUUGGUAUUCCGAGGGGCAUGCCUGUCCGAGCGUCAUUAUAACCCCUCCAGCUUGCUGGGUCUUGGGCCUCGCCUCUGGGCGGGCCUUAAAAUCAGUGGCGGCCCUACUAGGCCCUAAGCGUAGUAACUUCUCUCGCUAUAGGGUCCCGGUAGGUGCUGGCCAGCAACCCCAUCAUUCUAAUGGUUGACCUCGGAUCAGGUAGGGAUACCCGCUGAACUUAAGCAUAUCAAUAAGCGGAGGAAAAGAAACCAACAGGGAUUACCUCAGUAACGGCGAGUGAAGCGGUAACAGCUCAAAUUUGAAAUCUGGCCCUUGGGUCCGAGUUGUAAUUUGUAGAAGAUGCUUUGGGUGUGGCUCCGGUCUAAGUUCCUUGGAACAGGUCGUCAUAGAGGGUGAGAAUCCCGUAUGCGACUGGCUGCCUUCGCCCGUGUAAAGCUCUUUCGACGAGUCGAGUUGUUUGGGAAU
rnacentral:sRNA from 1 species